GACGAACGCUGGCGGCGUGCCUAGUACAUGCAAGUUGAGCGCUGACGGUUGGUGCUUGUACCAACUCGAUGAGCAGCUAACGGGUGAGUAACGCGUGGGUAAUCUUCCUUUUAUCGGGGGACAACAUUUUGAAACGAAUGCUAAUACCGCAUAAAAACUUUAACCACAAGUUUUAAGUUUUAAAGAUACCAUUGCCUCACUCAAAGAUCAUCCCGCGUUGUAUUAGCUAGUUGGUGAGGUAAAGGCUCACCAAGGGGAUGAUACAUAGCCUACCUGAGAGGGUGAUAGGGCACAUUGGGACUGAGACAAGGCCCAAACUCCUACGGGAGGGAGCAGGAGGGGAACAUCGGAAAUGGACGGAAGGCUGACCGAGCAAAGCCGGGGGAGGGAAGAAGGGUCUCGGAGCGUAAAACUCUGUUGGUAGAGAAGAAAGUUGGUGAGAGUGGAAAGCUCAUGAAGUGACGGUAACUACCCAGAAAGGGACGGCUAACUACGUG
rnacentral:rRNA from 1 species